rnacentral:rRNA from 1 species
AGGCCGGGUGUGUAAGCGCAGCGAUGCGUUGAGCUAACCGGUACUAAUGAACCGUGAGGCUUAACCUUACAACGCCAAAG